GACGAACGCUGGCGGCGUGCUUAACACAUGCAAGUCGAGCGGUAAGGCCCUUCGGGGUACACGAGCGGCGAACGGGUGAGUAACACGUGGGUGACCUGCCUCUAGCUCUGGGAUAAGCCUGGGAAACUGGGUCUAAUACCGGAUAUGACUCCACGGCGCAUGUUGUGGGGUGGAAAGCCUUGUGUGGCUAGAGAUGGGCCCGCGGCCUAUCAGCUUGUUGGUGGGGUGAUGGCCUACCAAGGCGACGACGGGUAGCCGGCCUGAGAGGGCGACCGGCCACACUGGGACUGAGACACGGCCCAGACUCCUACGGGAGGCAGCAGUGGGGAAUCUUGCGCAAUGGGCGAAAGCCUGACGCAGCGACGCCGCGUGAGGGAUGACGGCCUCGGU
rnacentral:rRNA from 1 species